ACUAUAUUGGCAGAAUAAGUGUAAUGAAUUUAGAAUUCAUCUAUGUAAUAAUUACAUAUAGUA
rnacentral:tRNA from 1 species